UACGUUAGGGCGCAAGCGUUGUCCGGAAUUAUUGGGCGUAAAGAGCUCGUAGGCGGCUUGUCACGUCGGGUGUGAAAGCCCGGGGGCUUAACCCCCGGGUCUGCAUUCGAUACGGGCUAGCUAGAGUGUGGUAGGGGAGAUCGGAAUUCCUGGUGUAGCGGUGAAAUGCGCAGAUAUCAGGAGGAACACCGGUGGCGAAGGCGGGUCUCUGGGCCGAUACUGACGCUGAGGAGCGAAAGCGUGGGGAGCGAACAGG
rnacentral:rRNA from 1 species